UUUUUUUUUUUGAUACCAUGUGUUUUUUAAUUAAUGGAAGCAUGCUGAGUCAUGGAGCAUGUUUAAAUUUUUAGUUGGUAACAUGGAUUUUGAGAAAUAUUGUCUGGUACUACAUGGUUACCACAGGUUCUCAAAACCUGUUUUCACCUAUACCUUUGGCCCUUGGUUGUUGAUGUAUUUCAUGGUGCCUUCCAUUAGGUUACAUGGGAAAUCUCUGGUUUCCCAAAUAGGACACAAAAAAACCCAAAACCAAACCCACUAGUCCUCUCUACCACAUAUCAAUUGUACCAGUUGUCAUUGUGUCGAUUCCAACACAUAGUGACCCAAAAGGGCAGAGUAGAACUGCCCUACAGGGUUUCCAAGGAGUGGCUGGUGGAUUUGAACCACUGACCUUUCAGUUAGCAGCCGAGCUCUUAACCACUGUACCACCAGGGCUCCAAAAUAUGUUUACAAGGCAUAUUCAGGGGUACAAAAGCCAAAAGAGACAAAAUUUUUACCCAAUCACACUGCCUGGUUGUACCACCUUGCUUGCAAGCCUCAUACCCCAGCUAUUUUGCUUCAACUAACGUUUCUUUCACUUUUCACUGUUAUGCAAGUCCCCACUGGAGGACAGCAAAUACUUGCAGUGGUAAAAGUAUACUACCAAAGAACCCGACGGCCAGAAAAAGCGGGCGGUACACUAUAUAUCCCAAGGGUCAUGAAAGUUAAGCCUUGGGCUACUAACUGUAAAGGUUGGCAGUUCAAACUCACUCAGAGGCAAGGCCUGGUAAUCUACUUAUGGAAAGUUACAGCCACAAAAACCCUAUGGAGCACAGUUCCCUCUACAGCAUAUGGGGUUGCUAUGAAUUGCAAUUGGCUCGGUUUUCUGGUAGGGGAGAUUUUGAUGCAUGUUAAAGUUUAAGAACUACUGCCUAGGCCAGUGGUUCCAGUUUCUCAAAAUUUGGGGCAUAUUAGAAUUCCGAGGUCCGGGCUGCACCACAGGCUGAGUAAAUCAGAUUGUCUGGGGUCGGGCAGUGGUAUUUUUUUAAAGCUUCCCAGGUGAUUCUAUGUGCAGCCAAAUUGAAGAAGCACUAUUUUAGGCCUUAUCUCCUCCCACCCCUGGGAACCACCUCUUCUCAGCCUUAAAUUGUAAUCAUCUAGGCCUAGAACCUUGUAGGCCUAUCACCCUUGUAGAUGUGAUAACCUGGUGAUUGUUUCCCUGGACUGUUUUCCCAAAGGCCCCUGAAUCCACAGUCCCCCACUCCACUGAUUUGGGGAGAGUACAUGGCAGGAAGUUAGGCCCAGCAAUUGUGUAUGAGGUGGAUCCAAAGGAAAACCCAGCCAAGGGGCUCUCUGGUGUUCCAGGUGCAGCCAUCUGAGCCCACCUCUGGCAGGAGACCUGACAUCUCUUUCCCUGCCUUGGCCAGGGCUGGGUGAAAGGCUAUCCUGGGGCAGGUGCAGCCCUGUUUUGAGCUUCCAUUCCAGCCUCUCUGGCGUGAUCACACCUUCCCACCCCUACCCCUUCACCCUAAGGAAGAGGCACACUGGGUCAAAGACAAACGGCAGACUUAAGUGCACACUGGAGGCUUUUAGUGAAAUGAGUCCAGGGCCCCAGAGAGAAAUGGACGGGGGCCAGGUCAUCCUUCUUUCCUGGUUUCCUUCUUGUCUUUCUCCACUCUCCUCCAUUUUAUAUAUAUGCUGCAGUAGGAUAGUGUGCGUUUGUGUAUGUGUGUGCGCACCAAGGAAGUUGCGUCCCACCCUUGAAAGGCCAUGGGGGAACUGAGUGUGGGAUUACAGCCAAGAAAACCCUACGAGGCAGUUCUGCUCUGUCACAUGGGGUGCCUAUGAGUUGAUGAGUUGGAACUGACUCUACAGGACUGGUCUUAGUUACCUAGUGCUGCUAUAACAGAAAGACCACAAGUGGUGGCUUUAACAUACAGAAAUUUAAUUUCACAGUUUAGAAGGAUAAAAGUCGGAAUUUAGCAUGCUGGCUCUAGGGGAAGGCUUUUUAUCUCUGUCGGAUCUGGAAGAAUGUCGUUGUCUCUUUGGACUUCUACACCUGGGCAAUCUUCACGUGGCUUGGCAUCUCUCUUCCCCUGUCUCUGCUUCCCUAAUCUGCUCCUUUUAAGUUUUGUAAGAGAUUGACUCAAGACACACCUUACACUAAUCCUGCCUCAGUAACAUAACAGAGAACUCAUUUUCAAAUGGGAUUAUAACCACAGGCAUAGAGGUUAGGAUUUAUAACACAUAUUUUGGGGGACACGAUUUAAUUCACAAUAGAACCCAAAAAGAGCAUGUAAUUUCCUUGUGCCGGGUACUCUGCAAUGUUUUUCAUGCACAGGUUGGCGUCACACAUCCUCCCACAAGCAUAAGUAUUCAGGAUUCUCAAUUUGACAGGAGAACCAAGCCUUAGAUAGGUGAGCUCAUGUCAUAACUGAGAAGCCUAAGUGUAAUCAUUGUAUAAUGUGGAGAGGAGACAGAAAAGGAAGACCUAAACCCAACCAACGGCUAAAGGUUCCUUGAGGUGACACCACUGUGUGGUUUUGGGGGUGGAGGUCCUGGAGAACAGAGAGGCAGGGACAAUGGGCAGUCAGAGGUGGAGGUGUAGGGGGCACCAAAGAGAAGUGCCACUUUUCUCUGUCCUCACAUCAGCUGGACCUAUUUUGAGGAACAGGACUCAGGGUUCCUGUUUAAAUCCUUCCAUUUGCAAAAAAAAAAAGACUGCCAGCUGACCACAAGAACUCUAUGCCCCGCCCUUCACAUCCCCAGCCUUGGAUUGCUCCACAUCUUCUGGGAACAGCUCAUCUCACCCACCUUACCCCACCCAACUCCACCCAACCCCACCCUAUCGAAUUCCCUUAAGGCAGAGCUACCAGGGAGAGGGCUGGCAGUGCAGUGGAGCAAGCAACGAAAAUUAUUGUAGUAAACUUGGCCUCCAGGAACUGACCACUGGUGGGUAUUGUGGCCGUUCAUGGGCACCCAACCAUACAAAAAGAAGAACUUCACUUUAUUCUUAUCAUUUUGAAAGCCGUGAAACCCGGAGUCCAAUCUCUAUCGUCACACAGGAAGCCAAGUAUUUCCUACUCGGUCAGGGUCUUGAACUUCAAAUUCGUAAACUCUUUUAAGCCUUAGAAACAAAAACUUCGUGGACAAAAUCCCUUGAAACCAGAGAUCAGAGUACCCUGAGAAGUUGAGGAAACAGCCAAUGGGGUUGAGGUUUGAAGGUGAGGAGGCGACUCAAAAUGGAACCUGAGGAUGCUGGCUUGACGUGCCUUUGCCUUAAUGAAAAUUUCCUAGAAACUGGGCUCAUAGGGUCAGCCUUGCACCAGUUGCUCUCUGUGCUUCCCAAGCUGGUUGCUGCUUGUACUGUAAACCUGCCAGUCCCCCAAACACGCUGACUGCGGAACCAGGCUGCCUGCCUUCAGCGCUGGCACUGGCAGCAGAAAUUGGAAACUGCCAGCACAGCUUUGUUAGUGACUACCAGCCCGGAAGGAGUGAACCAUAGAAAUGGAUUUGAGGGGAAGUGGAAAUCCCUUACUCCCCACCCUAAUACGACCCUCCUUCCAGCUGCCAGUGUGCCCAACGCACCGCCCCUCCCACCCCUCCACCCCGUGUGCUUUAAUUUCCAAUGGCCACUGCAGAAACGUGAAUUUUGUGAUCAGGAAACUCAUUUAGCAGUGUAGAAGGAAGAGCACUGGGGACCCAGGCUCAAGAUGGCCAUUGUGAUGCAGUGUCACUUACUCUAUCUGGCUGGUGUUUGGCUCAAAUCCAUUCAGGUUGCUGGCAGCAUACUGAGAAUUUCAAAGUGAAGUUCACGUUGAAGAGACUGUCAUUGUCCCUCAUUGUCAAGCAAAAUUCACUUUCUAGAUUAGCUACUUAGAAGAGAGGCCUGGCAGGUACAGUCUAGGGUAUGGGGGAUACUGGCCAGAUUAGGACUGGAGCCUGGGACAUCCUGGUGGUGACAGACCUAGAAAAGGGCCACUGCAGGGAAAGAAGUGUUCUGAUAUUACUGAGAAUCUGCUAAGCGCCAGGGGGUGUGUUUCGCAUACCUUACAUCACAGUAGCCCUACAAGGUAAGCAUCACUUCCCCACAAUACAGAUGAGGCUCAGAAAGGUUGAGAAAAUUGUCCAAGGUCACACAGUUGCUAAGUUACAUCAAAGUCCAUUUUCUCUUUGGGAAGAGGUCUUUAGUAGGUGGAUUGGAAAGGAUUGAAACAGUGUGCUAAAAAGCAGAGAAAGAAAAAAAAAAAGGGAAAAUCCUAUAAAGGCAAGCUAUCCAGUGGUUUUUGACUCUCAGCCAAAACCAUUUACUUCUGAACAUCCUUUUGUGGACUCACGGUGCAAAGUCAUCACUCCAUGAUCAGAGGCAGGAAAGCUCAGUGGUUUCAGGAAUGGGCUUGAGAGUAAUACAUGCCUGGGUUUGAGCUAUAGCUCUUAGUCUCAUGAGCUGUGUGUCCUUGGGCAAGUCUUAUAACUACUCUGAAGCUUUGUGUCAUCACCUCUACAGUGAGGAACAAUAAUGGCACCUCCUCACAGGUCUUUAAUGCUAAGUUCAAUGCCUAGCCCACGGGAAGUGCUUAGGAAGCAUUAGCGUGAAUAGCAUGGUAAGAUCUCCACACACUGAACUUGUUCUUCACCACACUCAUUGCCAAAGUCAUUAAAUUAA